GAUCAUCCAUCAUAUCCACA
rnacentral:misc_RNA from 1 species